rnacentral:rRNA from 1 species
AAUAUUGCACAAUGGGGGAAACCCUGAUGCAGCGACGCCGCGUGAGCGAAGAAGGCCNNNGGGUCNUCACGCUCUGUCCUAAGNGACNAAACGGACGGUACCUUAGUAGGAAGCCCCGGCUACCUACGUGCCAGCAGCCGCGGUAAUACGUAGGGGGCGCGCGUUAUCCGGAAUUACUGGGCGUAAAGGGUGCGUAGGCGGUCUUUUAAGUCAGAUGUGAAAGGCUACGGCUUAACCGUAGUUAGCAUUUGAAACUAAAAGGCUUGAGUGCAGGAGAGGAGAGUGGAAUUCCUAGUGUAGCGGUGGAAUGCGUAGAUAUUAGGAGGAACACCAGUGGCGAAGGCGACUCUCUGGACUGCAACUGACGCUGAGGCACGAAAGCGUGGGUAGCGAACAG